UGUCCUCCCAUUGUUGUCAUGUCAUCAACGUCAUACCACCUUCAUCGAUCCAUUGACGCCAUUCCUUUUUAGUCAUUCUAUAGUAAUCAUGCGCUGUCUUCAUUCAAUCGUGAUCAUGCCGCCGUUGUAAUGUCGUCGUCGUCACACCUCAUGACAUCGCCAUCACUGCGUCCUCGUCACACAGACGCUAUCAUGGAUCCGUUGUCAGAUCAUUGUCGUCAUGCUGUUUUGGUCGUACCACCGUCGUCAUUCUCGCUUCUUCACCCGGUUCUCGUAAUAACGUCGUCGUCAUCACUUUGCCCUCAUGUCGUCGUCGCCACGAUGUCGUCGUUAUACCAUCGUCAUAAUUUAGGAAUCCAUAAGUGAAUGCCGUUGUCGUUAUACGCCUUUGUCAUUGAAUCGAUAUCAUUCCUUCUUCCUCAUUCCAUUGUCACUGCGUCGGUGUCAUACAGUCGGUCAUGCCUCCAUUCCCACGGGCGAGCUUGGCAAGCGAGUGCCAUAGCGAAAUGGGAUGACAUCGGAGUAUGUGCCAUAUAUUCCGAGCAACGAAAGUCUCAGAAUUACCACUACAGAGGUUAAAUAAACGUGACUUCAGGAAUAUGGUCUGUCGCUACAUUGCUCGAUUGCUUUUCGCAUUACCGUCGGCAGUAAAAGUGACAUGAGUCUUGUCGUAUUUUUUUUUACCUUCGGAGGUCAUUUACCACGCCUCCGUAGCACGGUACACGAGUGUUCCUGCUUUUAGCCUCCAUCUGAAUGCAUGCAGGGCUGCCGGGAAUCAAACAAGUGACAUCGAGCUCAACAGCAGAAUGCCAUAGCCACUGAGCCAUCUUCGGAAGUAAACUUAACUGUUACCGCUGGAGUUGGCGAAAUCGCUUUAGAGUGCGGGCAAUGCGUAACAUCGUUUCAUCUAUAUUGCGCACCACUGCGCGCAUGCUUCGGAUCCUAUGGCCGAAGCCGCUGCUUUAAUUAUUUACCGCGGUGGCCGCUGUGUAUCAAUGGCGCAAUGUAAGAGCACCUGUGAUCCAUGGCACCGGCACACGUUACAAAAGUCCAGUCUGCACUGAUGCUUCCACUUCGGCACCUCUGAAAACCUAGAUGUUGCUUGGGGAAGAAAUCAUUGGUUCAACGUUUAUUACUGCAUGUGAGAAGAAUAUGAUCCGAUGGAAAUACAAGGCUUGAAGUAAACUGAACAAGUCGUUGUCAUGAAAAUCGGAGCACCCCUUUUUUCUUAUGGCUCUACAGGAUGCUGCACAUCAGCUACAUCAAAUGACGCUUAACAGGAGCAUGCAGGAGCAGUCCUACCGGAAAGAAGCAAGAACCGCGGACCAACAAAGCUUCUCUUACAUGUACAUACUUACACGCGCUUGCGUAGACCACUUGUACGCUGUGAGAUGAAUGAAGUGAUGUAUUAUGAUUGGCUACUUGGUUUGAAAGACAACGUUGAUAGCCGUAGUAGUUACCGGCACACGUAAGUCAAACUUGCUUCGGUUAGGUAUCCUUAACCUAGUAGCUGCUUUGGUAUAGAUGUUUAUUUGCUUUGCACCACGGCUCUCCAGCGGUCUAGUUAAGCUCGUCGACGUGUGUAGGUGCGUGCGGUCCGCGAUGGGCCAUGGCUAGGGUAGUCGUCUCGUAAUCAAGGCGAUCGCUAGCAUGAAUGCUGGACGCUUUAAUGGUGGCCAAUGAGGAAACGCCUUUAUGCAAGAGACAAUCUGCAAGUACGGAGAUCCAGUGGCGUUGUGGCGAGUAUACACAGUCGCUUUAGACGCUGACUUGUAUGUCUUGUUCACGCAGGUUCCCCUAGACUCGAGAAUUGCAAACCAUGCAAUCCUGGCUGCGCCCACGCCAUCUUGAACAAAGGUGCCAGCUCGGGCUGUCACCCCUGCCUCUGUGAAAUCGCUGUUGUGCGGAAACCGGAAAGACUGACGGCGGAAGAACCAUCCGGGAACGGCAAUGCAUGAAACAAGCUUGAACAAAAUCGCACGAGAACAACCCGCCGCUCAGCGCAACACCGACAAAGCACACGCAGGAGUGUCCUGCCGAGUUUUGUCUGUCAAGUCAUUUUAUAUGCACCAGCUUUUACCAUGAGCUUUAAUAGCAGAACGCGAUCGUUAUCUUUAUGAAAGAUUUUUAUUUGUAUUUGUGAACGUUAGCAAACAUAGAGAGAUCCCAAUACGCAGAAAAUCACUUCUAUAUUUACACUGUAAAAAGAGAAAAUAAACACGUUGGCCUUUGUUUGUUGCACAAUAA